rnacentral:rRNA from 1 species
GAAUCUUAGACAAUGGGGGAAACCCUGAUCUAGCCAUGCCGCGUGAGUGACGAAGGCCUUAGGGUCGUAAAGCUCUUUCGCCAGGGAAGAUAAUGACUGUACCUGGUAAAGAAACCCCGGCUAACUCCGUGCCAGCAGCCGCGGUAAUACGGAGGGGGUUAGCGUUGUUCGGAAUUACUGGGCGUAAAGCGCACGUAGGCGGACUAUUAAGUCAGGGGUGAAAUCCCGGGGCUCAACCCCGGAACUGCCUCCAAAACUCCUGGUCUUGAGUUCGAGAGAGGUGAGUGGAAUUCCGAGUGUAGAGGUGAAAUUCGUAGAUAUUCGGAGGAACACCAGUGGCGAAGGCGGCUCACUGGCUCGAUACUGACGCUGAGGUGCGAAAGUGUGGGGAGCAAACAGG